rnacentral:rRNA from 1 species
CCUACGGGAGGUAGCAGUGGGGAAUAUUGGACAAUGGGGGGAACCCUGAUCCAGCCAUGCCGCGUGUGUGAAGAAGGCCCUCGGGUUGUAAAGCACUUUCAGUGAGGAAGAACGCCUGGUGGUUAAUACCCAUCAGGAAAGACAUCACUCACAGAAGAAGCACCGGCUAACUCCGUGCCAGCAGCCGCGGUAAUACGGAGGGUGCGAGCGUUAAUCGGAAUUACUGGGCGUAAAGCGCGCGUAGGUGGCUUGAUAAGCCGGUUGUGAAAGCCCCGGGCUCAACCUGGGAACGGCAUCCGGAACUGUCAAGCUAGAGUGCAGGAGAGGAAGGUAGAAUUCCCGGUGUAGCGGUGAAAUGCGUAGAGAUCGGGAGGAAUACCAGUGGCGAAGGCGGCCUUCUGGACUGACACUGACACUGAGGUGCGAAAGCGUGGGUAGCAAACAGGAUUAGAUACCCCGGUAGUC